UACGUAGGGUGCAAGCGUUGUCCGGAAUUAUUGGGCGUAAAGAGCUCGUAGGCGGUUUGUCGCGUCGGAUGUGAAAACCCGGGGCUCAACCCCGGGCCUGCAUUCGAUACGGGCAGACUAGAGUUCGGUAGGGGAGUCUGGAAUUCCUGGUGUAGCGGUGAAAUGCGCAGAUAUCAGGAGGAACACCGGUGGCGAAGGCGGGACUCUGGGCCGAUACUGACGCUGAGGAGCGAAAGCGUGGGGAGCAAACAGG
rnacentral:rRNA from 1 species